UUUUUUUUUCCUUUAAAUGCGACGAAACCCUAUAAUUGAAUCAACGAUGCUUUUUCCCCUUCGUUAUCUUUGAAAAAUCGAAAUGAAAAUCUUCUUCACUUGACUGAUAAGUCAUUUUCUCAUCAAGAUUAAAUGGUAUACACUAAAAUGCGCAAAUUGUGUAUGAAGAACAGGAUGAUCAUGAUGAUUCCAGCUCAAGCAGUGUUCGUCACAAUAAACGUGGGUACACCAGACAAGUAAAUUUCAUUUCUACUUUUUUUUUCUUUUUUUUCUUUUUUUUUUUUUUAUAUUCUUAUCUGUUAAAAAAUCUUUGAAUUAGAGUGAAAUAAAAGUAAAGUGUGUUAUUUAAAAAAAAAAUAAAAAUAGUAGGAAUAGAGAAAUGAGGAAUGGAGAUAUGGUGAAUCCAGGCUUACGAUGAGGCCCCCAAAGGUUAAUUGAUUUAUUUCUUUCUCAAUUCUUUCAGUUUUAGCAGUCAAGACAAUGUUAGUUCCCGUCAUAUUUUAGAUUUUGGAAAUAAUCUGAAGAAAGAACAAAAAUAAACCCCUGUUGAAUUUUUGAGAUUUCCCAAAAUAAAUUUUUAAAAAGGUUCUGACACAGAAGAAAACAAACUCUGAUUUGAAGCCAAUAUCUAGCAACUUAAUCUAGUGAAGUAUGUGGAUGCUUUUUACCAAGUAGUGUAAAAAAUUAAUCAAGAUUGAUGAAGAAACAACAAAUACACAGAUUUUUUGCCAAAUGUUUCCCAGCAAUCUUUAGCUUUUUUACCUCCUGUAAAUAAUCCAUCCAAAACUUUUAUAUUUGGCAAAAAAAAUUAAUGAUCAAAAGCUAUUGUAGAAUUUGAAGCUGUGUUCAAUUAUUAGAAAGUCGCACAUUAAAUUUUGAGAUCUGGAUAUUGCUCUGUUUUGGUGGAGAAAUGGGAAGUUCAAAGGACGAAAUAGUUGUUGCUGUGAUCACAAUGGGUGGACCCACAAGAGGUAUGGUUAUUGUUUAUAUUUUUUUUUUCCUUUCAUCUUUAAUUAACUAAUUUUACUAUGUAUGAUUGCAAUGUGGUAUUGAUUAGAAUUUGAUUGCUCUUAGAGGGAAUAAUGAGUUCUUUUAUUAUAUUGAUUAUAACUAUUGAAAAUAUUUUAGUUUUAACUAAAUAUUUGGAUUUUCGGAUUGAAUAAGAUUACCCUUUUGUUGAUAUUACUUUUUCUAUAGGAAAAAUUAAGAUUUUUCUUUUUAAUUGAGAUUUUUAGGUGCAAGCACUAGAUUUAGGCCAUUGUUAUUAAAUAUUCCAAGGCCAUUUUUUUCACCAGUAGGGCAGCCCAUGGUUCAUCAACCAAUCUCUGCUUGUAAAAGGGUAUGAAAUUUCAUUGAAUUUAUAUCCAUAGCGAAAAGAUCGAAUAAUUUUGGAUCACUGGUAUCUCAUGAGUUUUAGGAAGGCAUUUUGUGACAUCAAACUUACAAAUAAAAUAUCAUUUACUCCAGGUAAUCAAAGGGGUUAUUAUGUUAAUUGAAAUUUUUUGAAGUAGCUCACAUAUUUGUACAAGUUUUGUAAAUGGUAUUUAAUGGAAUUAAUAUAUAUCACUUGGUCAUGGAAUUAAUAAUUCUUGUUAUCAGAUAAAUGUCUAUUUCUGUGUGUUAAGAAAUACUGUUGCUGGAUCUUCUCUGCAACCUAUCAGACUAACAAAUGCAAGGAUGUGUUCUAAAUAAGAGCAUCAAUCUCCCCAUUUAUACCAAUUGAUAGGUCUAUAAGUUUUGCAAUUGUAAUUUGUAAGGGCGAAAAGGGUAACUUAUGCUUACCCAAGUCAAGUUUCUUACCUUUUAUGGUGAUCUAUGUUCUCUGCACAGAAUUGAUGUUAAGGUUUCCAAAUUGAAGAAAGAACUUGAUGCGCUUAAAUCAUCAAAUAAUCAUACUGGGGAUGGUCAUGAAACAAACAUUCAAGAUAAUGCAAUUCUGAGACAGUGGUUCCUGUGGAAAGGAAUCGACAUCCAAUAGCCGCUAAUGGUUGAGGACUAGAACUAGCUUUAGUUUAUGAGGUGGUAUAUUUGUUGGCUUUUGUAUCAAACACUCGGUGGACAGUAUCUAUUAUGUCGUUGUUUAAUGUUGAAAGCGAUAUUUGCAGUUGGUUGUAAUUAAUUAAUGUAGAGAGAUGUUUCGAAAAUAGAUAAAGUUGAGUAAUUUUUAAUUCAUAAACAAGAGUUUGGAAAAAGAAGAUAACUAAUAAGUUUAGAUAAAAUCAAGUAGAAAAAUUGAUGUGUACAAAGAGAAGAACAUUGAUAAUGAUCGAUAAGUG
rnacentral:lncRNA from 1 species